rnacentral:rRNA from 1 species
CCGGAUUUAUUGGGCGUAAAGAGCUCGUAGGCGGCUUGUCGCGUCGUCCGUGAAAACCUGCGGCUCAACUGCAGGCUGGCGGUCGAUACGGGCAGGCUGGAGUUCGGUAGGGGAGACUGGAAUUCCUGGUGUAGCGGUGAAAUGCGCAGAUAUCAGGAGGAACACCGGUGGCGAAGGCGGGUCUCUGGGCCGAUACUGACGCUGAGGAGCGAAAGCGUGGGGAGCGAACAGG